AAACGACUCUCGGCAACGGAUAUCUCGGCUCUUGCAUCGAUGAAGAACGUAGCGAAAUGCGAUACUUGGUGUGAAUUGCAGAAUCCCGUGAACCAUCGAGUCUUUGAACGCAAGUUGCGCYCGAGGCCAUUUAGGUUGAGGGCACGUCUGCCUGGGCGUCACACAUA
rnacentral:rRNA from 1 species